rnacentral:rRNA from 1 species
UACGUAGGGGGCAAGCGUUGUCCGGAAUCAUUGGGCGUAAAGAGCGUGUAGGCGGCCAGAUAAGUCCGCUGUGAAAACUCGAGGCUCAACUUCGAGCUGUCGGUGGAAACUAUUUGGCUAGAGUCCGGAAGAGGAGAGUGGAAUUCCUGGUGCAGCGGUGAAAUGCGCAGAUAUCAGGAAGAACACCCGUGGCGAAGGCGGCUCUCUGGUACAGAACUGACGCUGAGACGCGAAAGCGUGGGGAGCGAACAGG